rnacentral:piRNA from 1 species
UGGUCCUCUUUGCCACAUCCGUGUCUC